rnacentral:rRNA from 1 species
UGAAUUGCAGAAUCCCGUGAACCAUCGAGUCUUUGAACGCAAGUUGCGCCCGAAGCCAUCCGGUCGAGGGCACGUCUGCCUGGGCGUCACACACCGUUGCCCCCCUAAGUCCCUUUGACACUAUCCAUAUGGUGCAUAGGGACUGCGAGCGGCGGAUGAUGGCCUCCCGUGGGCCUUGACUCGCGGUUGGUCUAAAUUUGAGUCCUCGGUCACGGUUGCCGUGGCAAUAGGUGGUCGUCGAUGAUUCGGUGCCCUGCCACGUGCUCUGGACAAAAGCAUCGAGAGACUUCACAAACUAGACCCCGAUGCGCCCCACGUGGGUGCUUCCAACGCGACCCCAGGUCAGGCGGGG